AUAAACCCCAGAGUUAGUUCAUUCAGGACUGCUGCGGUGUGGAGAGUCUGACUGUUUCAUUAAUCUUAAAAAAAAGGGAAGCUGAGUGCUACACUUGCUGUUUUCUAAGACUACCAUACCAAGCGGUGCUAAUCAGACUCACAACAGUGAAAGAGAACAGUUACUUCCAGAAAUAUCUGCCUGCCUGACAAAGUGCAAGGAGAACACUGGUUGUGCAUGGGCGGAGAUGACACCUUCUGGCAGGGUCCGGUCUUUUGAUGUUUUCACAGUGGGACUCCUCAUUAGUGCUGCACUUGACUGUUCUCCAAACUGCUCCAAGUCCACAAGUUG